AGAGUUUGAUCCUGGCUCAGGAUGAACGCCGGCGGUGUGCCUAAUACAUGCAAGUCGUACGCACUGGCCCAACUGAUUGAUGGUGCUUGCACCUGAUUGACGAUGGAUCACCAGUGAGUGGCGGACGGGUGAGUAACACGUAGGUAACCUGCCUCGGAGCGGGGGAUAACAUUUGGAAACAGAUGCUAAUACCGCAUAACAACAAAAGCCACAUGGCUUUUGUUUGAAAGAUGGCUUUGGCUAUCACUCUGGGAUGGACCUGCGGUGCAUUAGCUAGUUGGUAAGGUAACGGCUUACCAAGGCAAUGAUGCAUAGCCGAGUUGAGAGACUGAUCGGCCACAAUGGAACUGAGACACGGUCCAUACUCCUACGGGAGGCAGCAGUAGGGAAUCUUCCACAAUGGGCGCAAGCCUGAUGGAGCAACACCGCGUGAGUGAAGAAGGGUUUCGGCUCGUAAAGCUCUGUUGUUGGAGAAGAACGUGCGUGAGAGUAACUGUUCACGCAGUGACGGUAUCCAACCAGAAAGUCACGGCUAACUACGUGCCAGCAGCCGCGGUAAUACGUAGGUGGCAAGCGUUAUCCGGAUUUAUUGGGCGUAAAGCGAGCGCAGGCGGUUGCUUAGGUCUGAUGUGAAAGCCUUCGGCUUAACCGAAGAAGUGCAUCGGAAACCGGGCGACUUGAGUGCAGAAGAGGACAGUGGAACUCCAUGUGUAGCGGUGGAAUGCGUAGAUAUAUGGAAGAACACCAGUGGCGAAGGCGGCUGUCUGGUCUGCAACUGACGCUGAGGCUCGAAAGCAUGGGUAGCGAACAGGAUUAGAUACCCUGGUAGUCCAUGCCGUAAACGAUGAGUGCUAGGUGUUGGAGGGUUUCCGCCCUUCAGUGCCGGAGCUAACGCAUUAAGCACUCCGCCUGGGGAGUACGACCGCAAGGUUGAAACUCAAAGGAAUUGACGGGGGCCCGCACAAGCGGUGGAGCAUGUGGUUUAAUUCGAAGCUACGCGAAGAACCUUACCAGGUCUUGACAUCUUGCGCUAACCUUAGAGAUAAGGCGUUCCCUUCGGGGACGCAAUGACAGGUGGUGCAUGGUCGUCGUCAGCUCGUGUCGUGAGAUGUUGGGUUAAGUCCCGCAACGAGCGCAACCCUUGUUACUAGUUGCCAGCAUUAAGUUGGGCACUCUAGUGAGACUGCCGGUGACAAACCGGAGGAAGGUGGGGACGACGUCAGAUCAUCAUGCCCCUUAUGACCUGGGCUACACACGUGCUACAAUGGACGGUACAACGAGUCGCAAGCUCGCGAGAGUAAGCUAAUCUCUUAAAGCCGUUCUCAGUUCGGACUGUAGGCUGCAACUCGCCUACACGAAGUCGGAAUCGCUAGUAAUCGCGGAUCAGCAUGUCGCGGUGAAUACGUUCCCGGGCCUUGCACACACCGCCCGUCA
rnacentral:rRNA from 1 species